ACCUCUUUCUCCUCAGUUUGCUUUAACCAUGUAUACAGAGAGGCAAACUUUGUGGCGGAUGCUUUUGCUAAUGAAGGCCACCAACUCCCGAAUGGUCGUGAGUGGCAAGAUGGAUACCCAACAGCUGUUGCUAGAGCGCUGUUAUUUGAUACUGUUAGCUCGGGUUGUCCGAGAGGAUUUUCUUUGUAAUGUCUUUAGUUUCAUAUCAAAAAAAAAAAAACAACACUACAGCAAAUAAGAUAAUAGGGUUUGUCUACUAUAUUGUUCGGUAUAACAUAUAUCUGACUAAAGGGAGACUUUGUUCAGCAAGGAGUGAUGGUUGGUUGAAGAUAUUUUGUCAUGGAAUAUUAAAAUGUAUGUUAUACCGAACGGUGUGUAUAGCAGAAAUUUUCCGUUAUAAUAAGAGUUAAACAAAAACUCAUGUUUCAGGUGACAUUAUACUUUUGUUGUUGGUCUCUUACUUUGCCUAUAGACUCAACGUCAAUAUCAGCAGAAUUAUUGAUGGAAAUCUUAACUGUUGGCAUGGGUUGAUUUGAUGAAAAUUAUUCGACCUCCCGAUGUUAGAAAAGGUCGCCCUAGCUAUUACGAGCUCAAACCUACUUGCCUCUAGUAAAAAGGGUACACCAUGGCAUCUACUUUCAUUUUUGAUCGAUUCAAGUUCAAGCAUAUAAUCGGCAAUAUUCAAUCGAUCGACGACAAAUGUUUU
rnacentral:lncRNA from 1 species